GUGAACACUGCCACAAGAGAGACCUCAGGGACACAACCUUCAAAGCUGAGAAGUGUAAGGGAGAGAAUUAGAGAAGCAGCUGGAGUGCAAAGUAUAUCAGCAAAUACUACAGGAGGAGGAGUGCAUGUGUCCUGAAUACAAUUUCAAAGGAGAACUAGAGAAGGACAACUGGACAGUCCAGGAAACACAGACUGGACACGAGCAGGUAAAUUAGUAGAGGACGGGUGCUGCUUCCUGAAUCCCAAAUUUCUAUUCCCUG
rnacentral:lncRNA from 1 species